CCCAACUCUCUCAGUUUGUCUCCACAGGGGAUAUGCUCCAGACCUCUAAUCAUGUGUUCAUAUGUGAAUUUAUAUGUUUAGCCCAAUGGGUUGCCUUAGGGAGGCUGCCUUAGGCUGCCUUUGCACCACAGGAUGGUGCUCCAGAAGUUCUUGGGACUUCCAGUCCACAAUUGCCAAUUCAAAGCCCGGGUCAUCAAUUCAUGCCCUUGUCCCAUUGCUGGGCAGGCCUCACAGGGGAGGAAGCUCAUGGGUACAGUGAGGGCAGGCUGUAAUCACUACCUGCAGACAGACAGAUUUACUUCCAGAUGUUGCAGUUGGCUCACAGAACUCUGCACAUGUGCUUUGUGUUCUGCCUAAUUUUUUAAAAUGCUGUUUUAUUGAAGAGAAUGGGUUUCAUAAGCCUUGUAGCUAAAAAUACCCCAGAGGGCAAAGCACACCGAGGAAUGGCUGCUGAUGGGAAUCUCUUUGCUUUUGCAGCAAGAAUUCCCAUGUUCCUUUGGAGUCCAGUGGGUCUGCGAGGGAAAAGCUCUGCUGGGACUGGGAUGGCACACGAGGAGACUGACCAGGACUGUCUUUACCCCCACCAGCUGCAGGUUUUCCAAGUAGAGAGCAGAUGGACUGGACCCAGGCAGCUUCUCCACCGUGUAUCCCACGCUGCUCACUCUGCCCACGUGACAUGGAAGAUAAAUUGGUAGGCUGGGAGUCUCAUGGAGCCUGUCAGUGUGGGGUUGGCUGGCAGGCUGCACACAGGACCGGUUUAAGGACAGUGUAGAUACAACAGUGUAGGUACAACAUGGAGAACCAUGUGAGAUUUCCCUGCUUCCCAAAGCACGCUCCUGGCAAAGAGCACAGGCACAGGCAGCGUCUCUUUAUGUUCUUGGGAUGCCACAUGGACCUUUAAGCAUUAUAAAUAACAGUGACUGGAUACACUUUCUCAGACUAAGAACUGUGAUAAAAAACAAAGUGUUGCUGGAAAUGAUAUUGCAGGAUUUGUAUGUGGGAGUAGUGAUAAAACAAGUAUGAUCCCACUGUCAGCCGCUUGGAAAGCUGUGAUUUCAGAACAUCCCAGUUAUAGUAGUGCAACAGGAAACAAAGAGCAUAUGGGGAAACAAAAACGAUGAUCUACAGUUUGAGAAUGCAUGAAAUAGAAAUGAGAUGGUUCUGAUGAAGCAGGGAGCUCCCUGUGGAAGACAUUCAUCUUAACUCAUUAGCCAUUUUGGGAGGAAACAAAUCCCUAGCUGGCAGAAAGCUAAGUAAUAUUUUUAUAUCCCAACACCUUCUAAAAUUUUUAAAAACACAAUUAAGUCUUGAAAUUGGAAUGAGCCAGGUCCGACCACAGUAUCCCACUUGGGAUCGAUGGGAUACUGAUAGGUUAGUUAAUCACAAUUAUUUUCUGAAAUAUAUUGCAAAGCAAUACAUUUCUGGUUUUUGUUACAAUUUCUCUGCACAAGGAGAGGAAAUCUGGACAAAAGCAAUCUGGGCUGCUCUGUCUCACUGCCUUUGGCCUUUUUCUCCUACAUGAAACGGGUGUCACAUGCAGCCAUGCUCAUGCACAGCAUGUAGAUUUCCCACAUUCCUGGAGGCAGUGAGAUGUGCUGGCAUGGGGAUUACGUGUACCAGGGGUGAUACUUCCAGUUUUUCCAGAAGUAACACUAUUCAAGCUCUUUUUCAUCUAAAACAAGAGAGAACUAUGAGGACAGAAAGCCUAUUAAAAAUGGAAAUAUCUGUGGAGAUUUACUGAGCUUUGGCUAACCAGUCAAUAAUUAUUUAACUCAUCUAAUCUACCCUGGAGUAAUGGAGUAAUGUGUUCUACAAAUUGUCAUGAAAUGUCCUAGGAUUACAAAAUUUAAUAAAAAUUAAUAUUGGAAGUCGAGAACCCCA
rnacentral:lncRNA from 1 species